rnacentral:lncRNA from 1 species
CUCAGCAGCUCACAAGGUGAUGGACACUUCUCUCUCUCUCUCUCUCUCUCUCUCUCUGUGCUAUGUGAUCAACGCCUGUUGCUUUGUGGCACGUGAGUCAGGCAUGAAGAAGCCUAAGGAAGAAGGAGACAAAGGCGUGGUUUGGCCUGAUGCUCUCUCUACCUUCAUCUUCCAGGCAUGAAGAAGCCUAAGGAAGAAGGAGACAAACGCGUGGUUUGGCCUGAUGCUCUCUCGACCUUCAUCUUCCAGUUGCUUCUUGUCAUGGCAACGGAAUGCAGCAAGAAAGCUGAGAAUAAAGUGACGAUUGCUACAGUGGUGGGUACGGAUUCUAUUUUCUUUGUUGUCUCUCACAAUACCAACAUUUCCAUGGAGCCCUUUGCACUAAAAGGGCAUUUUCUAUGGUCUCGAUUACACGUAACAGGGUAGCAAUCUUCCAUGUAACUAGUGGCCCAUCAUUCGCAACUGGCCCAAAUAAUAACAUUAAAUCAAAUAUAAAUGAUUUUGAUGUUCUUACGAUUUAGGUGAGUGAUUCAUUACACAAUAUGCAUCUGUU